AGGUGAUACGUUACCUACUUUAAUCAAUUCGCAAUAUACGUGUUUCCCUAUUAUUAAUCCCAGGUUAGAUUAGGUUAGGUUAGGUUAGGUUAGGCUAGGCUUGGGUUGGGGUGAUCUCAAGACAGGAAAGGCAGGGAAAGUGAUAUGUUACCUACUUUAAUUAAUUCGCAAUAUACAUGUUCCCCUAUUAUUAAUCCCAGGUUAGUUUAGGUUAGGUUAGGUUAGGCUAGGCUAGGGUUGGGGUGAUCUCAAGACAGGUGAGGCAGGUAAAGUAAUAUGUUACCUACUUCAAUCAAUUCGCAAUAUACGUGUUUCCCUAUUAUUAAUCCCAGGUUAGUUUAGGUUAGGUUAGGUUAGGCUAGGUUAGGCUAGGCUAGGGAUGGGGUGAUCUCAAGACAGGUAAGGCAGGGAAAGUGAUAUGUUACCUACUCUAAUUAAUUCGCAAUAUACGUGUUCCCCUAUUAUUAAUCCCAGGUUAGUUUAGGUUAGGUUAGGUUAGGCUAGGUUAGGCUAGGCUAGGGAUGGGGUGAUCUCAAGACAGGUAAGGCAGGGAAAGUGAUAUGUUACCUACUUUAAUUAAUUCGCAAUAUACGUGUUUCCCUAUUAUUAAUCCCAGGUUAGUUAAGGUUAGGUUAGGAUAGGAUAGGCUUGGGUUGGGGUGAUCUCAAGACAGGUAAGGCAGGGAAAGUGAUAUGUUACCUACUUUAAUUAAUUCGCAAUAUACGUGUUUCCCUAUUAUUAAUCCCAGGCUAGUUUAGGUUAGGUUAGGAUAGGCUAGGCUUGGAUUGGGGUGAUCUCAAGACAGGUAAGGCAGGGAAAGUGAUAUGUUACCUACUUUAAUUAAUUCGCAAUAUACAUGUUCCCCUAUUAUUAAUCCCAGGCAAGUUUAGGUUAGGUUAGGUUAGGUUAGGUUAGGUUAGGCUAGGCUGGAGUUGGGGUGAUCUCAAGACAGGAAAGGCAGGGAAAGUGAUAUGUUACCUACUUUAAUCAAUUCGCAAUAUACGUGUUUCCCUAUUAUUAAUCUCAGGUUAGUUUAGGUUACGUUAGGAUAGGAUAGGAUAGGAUAGGGUUGGGUUUACAUCAAGACAGGUAAGGCAGGUGAAGUGAUAUGUUACCUACUUUAGCUAAUGCGCUUAUACAUGUUUCCCUGUAAUAAGUCGCAUGCUAGCUUUGGUUAGGUUAGGUUAGGUUAGGUUAGGUUAGGCUAGGGUUGGGGUUUAUAUCAAGACAGGUAAGGCAAGUAGAGUUAUAUGUUAUGCCUACUUUAACUAAUGUGCAAAUACAUGUUUCCCUGUAAUAAGUCGCAUGCUAGCUUUGGUUAGGCUAGGUUAGGUUAGGUUAGGUUAGGCUAGGUUAGGCUAGGGUUUAUAUCAAGACAGGUAAGGCAAGUAGUUAUAUGUUAUGCCUACUUUAACUAAUGUGCAAAUACAUGUUUCCCUGUAAUAAGUCGCAUGCUAGCUUUGGUUAGGCUAGGUUAGGUUAGGUUAGGUUAGGUUAGGCAAGGGUUGGGUUUAUCUCAAGAAAGGUAAGUCAAGUCAAGUAAAGUCAAGUACCUUCUUUAACCAAUGCCUAAUAUACGUUUUUCCCUAUAGUAUAUCCUUGGUUAGGUUAGGUUAGUCUAGGGGUUGGGCUGAUCUCGAGAAAGGAAAGCAAGAUAUAGCACGCUCGUCAAAUUAUUGGAAGAACGUCCUCGACAACACCCUUCAAUAGCCUAACACGCAUUACCACCCGCUCUUCCCUCCUCCAAGAAUAGAUUUUAUUGUGUGGGUGAGCAAGAGAGAGGCUGAGAGGGUGUGAGAGGGGCGUGCAGGACCCUUGGAUAAAUAGGAGAAAGGAGAUGAGCACACUCUCCAAGACGCCCCCCCCAUCUCUCUCUCUCUCUCUCUCUCUCUCUCUCUCUCUGCAUUUCAAUUUCUUUCUCCUCACGGUCAUUAAUUUCUCCUUCCCUCUCCAUCUGUCACCACAUUUUCUUCUUCCACAUUCUCUCUCUCUCUCUCUCUCUCUCUCUCUCUCUCUCUCUCUCUCUCUUUCCCCGCCCCCUCCUGCGGUGUGGAACGAGUCUUCAACACCUGAUCAUCUCCUAAGGAACAAGCGAUUACGGCCAAGACACACGCGAACCCUUACCCUUGCCUCGGACGAUAGGUUAGGUUAGGUUAGGGUUGGGUUAGGUUAGAUAAGGUUAGGUUUGAUAAGGUUAGAUUAGGUUAGGUUAGAUAAGGUUAGAUUAGGUUAGGUUAGAUAAGGUUAGAUUAGAUUAGAUUAGGUUAGGUUAGGUUAGGUUAGGGUUGGGUUAGGUUAGGUUAGGUUAGGUUAGAUAAGGUUAGGUUAGGUUAGGUUAGGUUAGAUUAGAUUAGGUUAGGUUAGAUAAGGUUAGGUUGGAUAAGGUUAGAUUAGGUUAGGUUAGGUUAGAUAAGGUUAGGUUAGAUAAGGUUAGAUAAGGUUAGAUUAGAUUAGGUUAGAUUAGGUUAGGUUAGGUUUGGUUAGGUUACGUUAGGUUAAGUUGGCAUCGUUAGUCGCUUUCGAGUCUCACAUAAACUAUUUCCAAAGGCCAAAAAGGAGAUCAGUCGGGUUCUAAUAAGUAUUUUUUUAGGUUCUUGUUACAGAAGAAGGGUCAUACUACCACCAGGGGAAUAAGAUUAACUCUGGAAAUCCCCAAACCUCCGACGAAAGCCUUAUCAAAUAUGUGCUUGGGCGCCGAAAUGUUUAAGAAUAUGCCUCAUUGGGUCGUAUUUUAAGACAUUUCGUCGCCCAAGAACACCUAUUUGACAAGGCUUUCGUGGGAGUUGUGGGCAUUUCCAGGGGUAGUUUUAUGACCCUGAUGGUAGUUUGACUCUUCCUCUGUACCAUGAACCUGAAGAAACACAUUAGAACACGACCGAGCCCCUCUUUGACCUUUAGAAACAGCUGAUGUGAGAUGAGAAAGUGCCUUAUAAUACCCCUUCUGUAAAUUAACGCGCUGUCUGGUUCAUCGGCUUAUGGUAAAGUUGCCCUGGAA